UUAAUACCGAAAGAAAACUUCUUCUUUUUGGUUAACCCAUCCUCUCUUAUUUUCUUUCUCUUCUUCUGCAAUUUUUCCUUAAGCAUAGCCAAUCUAAGUUAGAUUACAAGGAAAGAAGAUGAAGUGAUUCAAUAAAUUUGUAAAUCUCGGCAUCAAAGGUUCGAGAAGUGAAUACAAUUUUAGGAACUCUGCAACAAUUUUGUGAGGAACUCUGCAACAAUUCGAUUUGGAUCAAGGGAUGAAUAUGUUGUAUGCACAAGCUGCUGGAAGAGAAGAUUUAGGAGAAAAGUUACCAGAUUGAAAGCCGAAGUACCAAAAGGAUUACCAGAUUGGAAAAAAGAAGAGAAAGAACCUUUAGGAGAAGAAAUUUCAGAUGUUCUAUUAUAUCUAGUUCAACUUUCUCAUUAUUGUGGGAUUGAUCCUGAUAAAACUGCUCUUAGAAAAGUUCAUCUUAAUGUUAUUAAACAACCAGUGAUUAGAUGGAUGUUAGGCGUUACAAGGAAUUUUUGUAAUUUGUGUGUUGGUCCUUGUAAAUCUGUCAUAAAUUAAGUUGUUUAAUUUUUAAUUAAACAAGACGGGUUAACCCGUGAACCCGCAAGCUUUACCCGCUACGAGCGCGGGUUGAAGAAAUGACGACCCGUGAAGAAUAACAACCCGCAAGCUUGGACCCGUUUUAACCCUUAACCCGCGGGUUGGGUACAAGCCAGCCCCGGCCCGCCCGUUUGCCAGCUCUAAUAUAGCACCACUCAAGCCCGGCCCACUGGUGGCUACGGAGAAAUAAGAAACGUGGCCUCAUUUCCUCCACCCCAUCACAUAAACAAAACAGAUAUUCAUUUCCUCAUAAAGCUGGUGAUGUUCUUCACAAAGAAAAUGGAUCCGAGCUUAAUUUCGUUGGAGGGUGUCUCAUUUCUCCGAACCACUGUUGCAACCAUUUUCUAUGGCGUGAGAUCGAGACAACACGGAAUUAGGAUCUGAUGUCGGAAGUUACAGAGGCAAUUCAUGGCAGCAGCUCUUUGAAAAGGAGAUCCGAAAUUCGUUAAUCUUCAGGUUGCUGGCAUCAAUCUGAGAUGGUGAAUCAAAUAGAUGGGUAUUGAUUGUUUGUGAUGUAUGUUGUUGGUGCUAGAAUUGUGAAGAGAUAAUGGAGAUGGAAUUGAACUGCAACAGCAACAAUGGAGUUGGGGGUGUUGAUUUAAUUCAGUGACAAGGGGUUCUCGACAUGUAAUUGAACGCUGAAAUGGGUUCUGGCUUAAUUGGUUUUCUAUGGAGCUGUACUAUGGAAUUUGGGUUUGUUGGUAUGUAUCAAAUGAAGGAGAAUCUGCUGGCUACGGUACACACGGUGGUGAUUGCUCGAUUACCCAAGAUGGAAUUGAGAAUGUUGUUGAUAGAAAUGGAACUGCAGGAGUUGAGAGAGAGUGAAGACAUGCUGGAUGGGUUUAAUUGAUGUUCCUGAGGCGUCGAUUGUGCUCGAUGGGUGAUGGCAGGCAACGUUAGCUGCUGUACCGCAGCAAUGAACAAUGAGAAAGAUGACCUGGUUGUGUUUGAUGGACAGUAUUUCGGGGUUCUGAUACAGUGAAGUUUGAAUCAUCUUCUGGCAGUGAUUGUGAAGAUUUAAGAUGCUAAUGUUAUAGGUGUCGUAUAUGGAUUAUUGCUCUGAGUUCUUAGCUUAUACUGAAAUUGGGGUUGCUAGCUACCAAUGCAUUGUAUUUGGCCUGAAAUGAUUUGUUCAGGCAGUGCCUAAAUGUGGAAGUCAGUUCCAUGUGAUUUGGGUUCAGUUUGGUGUUUUGGUUUAAAACCAUUGGGUGGUGAAGUCAGUGGUGCUUGGUGGCCGGGACUGAAAAGUUCACAGGAACAGAAGAUGGGGUAUAGAAAUAACAGUUGUGGAGAAAGGUGUUGUGGCCAGAGUUGGAUCUGGAGAUUGAUGUUUAGUACUGUAUUGGGCUUUGGCGCGAUUGGUUAUCGAGUCCAGAGGGGGGGAGUCCCAGCAGCACAUAAAUACCAGACUCAAACUCAAGGAGGGGACGCCGGAUACAGGGAAGAAAACGAGGGUAUUGUUUUUCUUGCUAUGUUUUGCUAGUUUUCCGGGCGACGGAUGAACUUGUAGAUGUUAGUUUAUUUUGUGUUCUAAAACAAAGUUAGUUUUAUGCUUAAUGAUAUUUGAGUGUCUCAAUCAAUGGUAUUUGAUUUAUAGUUCUUUCA